GUGUGAAGCUCCUUCGACGAGUCGAGUUGUUUGGGAAUGCAGCUCUAAAUGGGUGGUAAAUUUCAUCUAAAGCUAAAUAUUGGCCGGAGACCGAUAGCGCACAAGUAGAGUGAUCGAAAGAUGAAAAGCACUUUGAAAAGAGAGUUAAAAAGCACGUGAAAUUGUUGAAAGGGAAGCGCUUGCGACCAGACUCGCUCGCGGGGUUCAGCCGGCAUUCGUGCCGGUGUACUUCCCCGCGGGCGGGCCAGCGUCGGUUUGGGCGGUCGGUCAAAGGCCCUCGGAAGGUAACGCCCCUAGGGGCGUCUUAUAGCCGAGGGUGCAAUGCGACCUGCCUAGACCGAGGAACGCGCUUCGGCUCGGACGCUGGCAUAAUGGUCGUAAACGACCCGUCUUGAAACACGGACCAAGGAGUCUAACAUCUACGCGAGUGUUCGGGUGUCAAACCCGUGCGCGAAGUGAAAGCGAACGGAGGUGGGAACCCUCACGGGUGCACCAUCGACCGAUCCUGAAGUCUUCGGAUGGAUUUGAGUAAGAGCGUAGCUGUUGGGACCCGAAAGAUGGUGAACUAUGCCUGAAUAGGGCGAAGCCAGAGGAAACUCUGGUGGAGGCUCGUAGCGGUUCUGACGUGCAAAUCGAUCGUCGAAUUUGGGUAUA
rnacentral:rRNA from 1 species